rnacentral:rRNA from 1 species
CUACGCACUCCUACGGGAGGCAGCAGUGGGGAAUAGUUGCACAAUGGGCGCGAAGCCUGAUGCAGCCAUGCCGCGUGUGUGAAGAAGGCCUUCGGGUUGUAAAGCACUUUCAGUUGUGAGGAAGGUGGUGUCGUUAAUAGCGGCAUCAUUUGACGUUAGCAACAGAAGAAGCACCGGCUAACUCCGUGCCAGCAGCCGCGGUAAUACGGAGGGUGCGAGCGUUAAUCGGAAUUACUGGGCGUAAAGCGCAUGCAGGUGGUUUGUUAAGUCAGAUGUGAAAGCCCGGGGCUCAACCUCGGAACUGCAUUUGAAACUGGCAGACUAGAGUACUGUAGAGGGGGUAGAAUUUCAGGUGUAGCGGUGAAAUGCGUAGAGAUCUGAAGGAAUACCGGUGGCGAAGGCGGCCCCCUGGACAGAUACUGACACUCAGAUGCGAAAGCGUGGGGAGCAAACAGGAUUAGAUACCCUGGUAG